rnacentral:lncRNA from 1 species
GUAAGAUCAACACACAUCUAUAAUAAACAUGUACUACAAACACGUGUUAACACAACUCGUCUAAGAUAUAGCUUCAGACAUGCAUUCAUGAAAAGCAUCUAUAUAUAUAUGCAGGCCGAGAUAGUGGGAGUAAAGUUUAUCAAUGCACGCAUUGUAUGCAUGUUUACGGUGGUGUGUCUUAUUAAAGACAUAUUGGUAGUUGUAGACGUGAGUUCCAUACACGUGUCUGUAGUAUCCUAGGUACUUUAGCUGGCCUUCUCAUGUGUGGGAAGAGCGAAGGUAUUGGUGUGUACUGAAUUUCUCAAUUAGCUCUUGCGCAGCUCUUAUGGUGGCGGCGCCUACCAUCAUCGCGUACGACAUAGGCCUCCGGCUUUGAGCCUCGCAGGCAGAUUUGGCAGGUGGUAGUUGUGCAGCGCGAGUGUCAGGCGGGCAGAUGCGCAGGCGGUGGCCAACGGAAGACGGGGCGCGCUACAAUCGUGGGAAAUAGAAUAAAGGGGCUCACUACUAUAGGGCUACCGGCACUGCUGCACGUUCGGGCAUUAGCACUGGUCGAGAAGGGUCUGUUGCCCCAGUUCCCGAGCCGAUGCUGUCCUUUCAGGACUAAAGGCCCAAAAUUUAGUCCCAGUUCAGGAACCGGGGCUAAAGCCCCCCUUUAACACCGGUUGGUUAUACCAACCGGUUUUAAAGGGUCCUGCCAGAGCUGCCACGUUGCAGGACCCUUUAACACUGGUUGGUAUUACCAACCGGUGUUAAAGGGGUCUGUUUUUUUUCUUUUUUUUUGGUUCAUUUCUUCGGUUCUGUUUAUUGUUUAUAUAUAAUAAUAAUAGGUUUGUCAAUACAUAUUUUAUGCUGAUAUAAUAAUAUAUAUUACACGUGUAUUAAGCAUAAAUAUUAUUAUAGGCUUAGCUUUAUAAUUAAGUUUUGCCUAUAAUAAAACAAAUAGGCCACGUCAAUAAUUAAAUAGAAGGAUAUGUAAAAAACUUUAUAUAUAGUUUUAUAAGUACAAAAUCAUAACACAUAUAUACAUAGAGUUUUUUUCUCCGAAUCUCUAAAGCUAAUACAAUUGAUCAUCGUCGUUUUGAAUAAGAGUUUUGUUGCCGUUGAAGUGAAACUCGCCGUUUGGAUUGAUCACUUGCUCGCGGAGGAAUCCUGCUAUCGUCUCUUGAAUAGCUUUGAUGCGGUCUUUUUGCAUGACCUUUUCCCUCAACCAUUCCGUCUUCAAUUUGAAAUAAAAUAAAAAAGGUAUUAGUUAUCUAAGUUAUUCAAUAUAAUUCAGGAGAUAAUGAAAAUAGACAUGUAACGUACUCUGAGCGUCUCUGUGGGUAUUUGAUUGACGUGUACCAUCAAGAAUUUGCACAUGUAAUAUCCACAUAGGUUGUUCCCCCUUCUUGUCUUAAACACCACUGUACGAUAUAUAAAAAAGAUUCACGACCACCACAAUAAGAAAGCUAAAAGUUAGCGAAAGUUUGCUAGCUAGUACAACUUACUUGUGGAUGAAUUAUAUUAAGCGGAGCUUUACAACAAAUGAGAUGUUCACGGUCAAUAAAUCUUUCCCAAACCCUACACACAGCCAUUGUGGAUCGUCAACUAAUAACUGUAGAGUCAUAUCAUGAUAUUCUAAUAGCUGAGAUCGACAUUACAUACCUUUGAAUAAUGUUUACCAUUUGUUGGUAAUUUUCUUGCGGUUUUCUCAUUGAGUCAUAGAUUAUCAACCGGUUCUUAGGAAUAAUGACCAUGAGUAUCCAGUAAAAGUUGUUUACACACAUAUAUAUAGUCAGACCUAUAACUAUAUAAAAUCUGAAUCAAGUAAUAAUAAGUAAAAUAAAAUGUGCAUGCACUUAAUAACUAUAUAACUCACUCAAAUUGUAGAGGAAGAGUAUUUUUUUGUCUAAAUCGAAAUCCAUCGGUUGG